ensembl:lncRNA
CGCAACACCAUGUUUACGCACACCUCUGACGAUGACUUAUUGAUCCGUUGUGCACACCUGGGUAGCAAGGACGAGGCUAUAAAACACACAUCAUAUCCUAGUGUCCUGGCUAUGCCAAGGGUUAGGCUGUGAGAUGACACCUCUGACACUCAUCUGCUUAACACUGUACACUUGGAUAGUGUCACCUGGCUCCCGGCUCAGCCUGGCAUUAAGUCAGCAUGAGCAUGAAACAGAGAUGUGGCACGCACUCUCAAAUAGCUUGUAUAAUAAAGUGACCAUUGAGGGGACGAAGAAGCUGGCGUUCACCUUUCAAAGCAAGGAGAAUGUCCAGGUGGACUCUGCAUUCCUGUCCUGCGUAACUUUGAGAUGCUUCACGUUGCUGGAGAACCCCUCACCUGAGGCCUGGAUCGGGCCUGAACAUCAACAGCACCACUUGUCAGCAAUAAUUUGUCCAUCCAAUCGGUCAAGAAAAACAACACCAAAAGGACCAAGUGCAAUCACUGUUGUUUUAUUUGCUAUGGAGUCAAGCGCAGUGAACAGACACCCCAAUGGGAUCAUCUAUAGGCUUGGGAAAGUACUUAAAUCAUCUUUUCUGCUGUUGCUUGCAAUCAUUCCCUCCGACCCCCGGGAUGGUCCUUUGUGCUGCGUCACACAGCGUUCGGGAUCACCUUUGUCCUCUAUAUCACCUGUGGCCUGGGGAAACCAAUCCAUGUUUUGAUUGCCUUCAGGGCCACUUGGACGGUUUUCCAAUGGUUGUGUCACUCACAUCAGCAGCAAGCAUGUAUUUUGCCACUAUCUGCUGCACAGUUGAUGGUUUGUGUUGUGUGGUUCUUUGUCACCCAAAUGUCACCAAACAGGAAUGGAAGGCAGUUGUGUUGUGAAAACAUAAUACGUGAAAGGGAUGUCCAGUUUGCUCAUGUCAUUUACUGGGCCACAUCGUAUUUUUUAUGUUUUUCAUUUACCCUUUUACUGCGAUCAAUACAGGCUAAAUUGAAUGUAUUUAGCGCUCCUAUGCACAUGCGUUUGCUAGCCUGUCUACAAUAUGCCAGGGUAAUAACAAAGUAUAUCAUUGUUAUAAAACUCAACAUGCCCCUGUGAACCUUAUUUGUAUAUGGUAUUAUGAUGCUACGAUGAUAAAGAUCCUGAAACAUUAAAUAUAUUAAAAUGAAAAAAGAGUUGUAGGGAGACAACACUAAUCGUUUCUUAAAAUGUGCUAGGCUAAUGCUUAAUAGAUGGAUACAAUUCUUAAUUCAUAUUUUAGAUUAUUACGACAGAUGGAACCGGGGUUUAAGUUAAGGCUCAGUUGAUAACUUUGUUAUUUUCAACGUGGACCCUAUUUUCCAAUAGUUAGAGAUUGGGCCAGUAUUGAGCGAGCAUGGUAACCCUUAAGAACAAUAGCACUCAAUUAAUCAAUAAAUAUUUUCAAGCCAGAGCCUAAGUCUAAAGAGCACAUAUAUUGUAAAAUCCAAAGCAAUGAUUCAAGUGCCCGGAUCAAAAAAACGUAUAAUGUGUAUCAUUUCAAAUAGCUCUACAGUUAACCAAAAAACAUCCAAACAUUGACAUGAUACAUAUUUUUGUCUUCUUAAAAAAUAUUGAUUAGAGAAACAGGAAGAUUUCUAGAUGUUACCUUGAAGAAUUAGUUAGUUGGUG